AUGAACCAAAUGCUUGAGCACCACACAAGCCUGGCCAGGCAGAAAUAUUUUACAUCUCACGUCCACAUCAGGCACUACCGGCCAUCAAGGCAUGAGGGUCAGUCUGACAGUGUGGACUUGGAACAAUGGCUUCGCGAGCAUCAGACACAUUUUGCCUUGUUGAAAGCACAUCUCCUUAAAGCUCAAGCUAAGAUCAAGUUGUAUGCUGAUCAACAUCGGUCUGCAUGUUCCUUUACAGUUGGAGAAUUUGUAUAUCUGAAACUGCAGCAUUAUGCUCAAACUUUUGUGGUCAAUCGUCCAUGUGCCAAGUUGGCAUACAAGUACUACAGACCAUUUGAAAUUGUGGAAUGUAUUGGUCCGGCAGCGUAUAAACUGCAGCUGCCCGCUGAAGCUCUCAUCCAUCGAGUUUUCCACAUUUCCCAGCUGAAGGCACACAUACGGGAUAACACAACAGUAUUCUCCCAUUUACCCAUUGCGGUGGACCUGUCUAAAGUGAAUGUUUGGCCAGAGAAGAUCCUUGGUCGCAAAAUGGUGAAAAAUAACAAUGCAGUUCAUGUGCAGGUGUUGAUACAGUGGUCAAGUUUACCUUCUGAAGCUGCUAUGUGGGAAGAUUUCGAAGUGCUGCAACAUAGGUAUCCCACAGGGCCAGCAUGGGGACAUGCUGGAUCUCAAGGGGGAGGCACUGUCAGCAGUGUGCCUCUGACGACCAAAGAUCAAGGGGAAGAUGAGGCAAACAAGAUGACGCCAGACAAGGGUAAACAAGGUGGAAGGACAAGGAGUGCGACGACGGCCCCAGCACAAAGGGAAAGCCCAAGUGAAUGA
rnacentral:rRNA from 1 species